rnacentral:rRNA from 1 species
UUUUCCUACGGGGCGCAGCAGUAGGGAAUCUUCGGCAAUGGGCGAAAGCCUGACCGAGCAACGCCGCGUGAAUGAAGAAGGCCUUCGGGUUGUAAAAUUCUGUUAUAAGGGAAGAAAGGUGAUAGGAGGAAAUGACUAUCAAUUGACGGUACCUUAUGAGAAAGCCACGGCUAACUACGUGCCAGCAGCCGCGGUAAUACGUAGGUGGCAAGCGUUAUCCGGAAUUAUUGGGCGUAAAGAGCGCGCAGGUGGUUAAUUACGUCUGAUGAGGAAGCCCACGGCUUAACCGUGGAGGGUAAGU